rnacentral:rRNA from 1 species
ACUCCUACGGGAGGCAGCAGUGAGGAAUAUUGCACAAUGGGGGGAACCCUGAUGCAGCAACGCCGCGUGGAGGAUGACGCAUUUCGGUGUGUAAACUCCUUUUAUAUGUCAAGAAAAUGACGGUAGCAUAGAAAAGCACCGGCUAACUCC